AUACAAGGGCAGUAUCUGCCUACAUGACAGUAUGCUGCUCAAAAUCUGAGUUAUGUUCCCAGGCAAGCUGUUGGUCAUCUGCAUGGAACUGAGAAGGUAGUCACAGCCAGCAGCAAAAUGAUGCUCCCUGCAGCAAAGGAGAACUAAGGCUAUUAAUGCUCCUGAGGCCUGGCUUGUUCUUGUCACAUCUGUUCCAGGGGAUGCACAUAUCUAUUCCUAACACAGCUUGAGGAAGUCCAGCACUGCAAGAUAUGUGGUAGUUUUCCGCACCAUCAAGGGUUCCCCAUAGCUGCUUUCAUUGGUCAGCCUGGCAGUCCCAGGGGAGUCUUGUGUAUGUUCAGACCACUGACAUUCUGCAACUCUCACCAUGUAUGACAUUUAUUGCUUACAGUAGUCUUGUCAGUGUGUGGCAAAUGGAUGGAAGAAUCUGCUCCAUGCCAACAGCAGUGCUGGAUCACUUUGUGACAGAAAGAAACACUCAAGUACACAAAACUGGCAACACAUAUUUCUGUACUGAGGAGGCUAGUAAAAGGUAAAUACAUCAGAAUGUAAUACCCUGUUUCUAUGCCGGAUUCUCUAACUGCUCUGACUGAUCAAGCACAUGUGCAGGAUGGGCAGAGAAUGGCUUCAGAGCAGCUCUGAGGAGAAGGAUUUGGGAGUGUCUGUUGAUGAAAGACCCAACAUGAGCUGCCAGUGUGCGCUUGCAGCCCAGGAGGCCAAUUGUAUGCUAGGCUGCAUCAAGGGAAGUGUGACCAGCAGAUCAAGGGAAGUGAUUCUGCCCCUCUGCUCUGCUCUAGUGAGACCCCACCUGGAGUACUGCAUCUGGUUCUGGAGCCCACAACACAAGAAGAACAUUGAGCUGUUGGAGCAGGUCCAGAGGAGGGCUACAAAGAUGAUCAGAGAGCUGGAGCACCUCCCCUGUGAGGACAAGCUGAGAGAGCUGGGGCUCUUCAACCUGGAGAAGAAAAGACUCUGGGGGGACUUUGUAGUGGCCUUCCAGUACCUGAAGGGGGCCUACAGGAAAGCUGAGAAGGGACCUUUUAUGAGGGUAUGUAGCACCAGAACAAGAGGAGAUGUCUUUAAACUGGAAGAGGGUAGAUUUAGACUAGAUAUUAGGAAGAAAUUCUUUACUGUGAGUUGUGAGACACUGGAACAGGUUGCCCAUUGAGGUUGUGGAUGCCCUCCAACCCCGGAAGUAUUCAAGAUCGGGCUGGAUGGGGCUUUGAGCAACCUGGUCUAGAGGGAAGUGUGCCUGCCUGUAGCAGGGGGGUUGGAACUAGAUGAUCUUGAAGGUCCCUUCCAGCCCAAACCAUUCUAUGAUUCUGAUGUGAGGGACUCUUAAUAUCUGCUGAAAAUUGAUCACAAAAUACCUGAUAGUAUGUUGUUGCUUUUCUUACAGCAACCAUCUUACGUAUUGCUUUUAAGCAUCUUAAAUAAAAAGAGUAGAGGCAAUGAAUAAUUAUUCUAAAUCAAAAUGAUAAGUCUUAACUGGACCAGCUCAAUUUUUCCCAAGUUGAUGUGGUUUGAUAAAGCAUAGGCAAAGUGAAAAAAAAUUAAAUGGUAAUGGCUAUAGGGUAGCUACUCCAAGUAGGAAUGUAGCUAUGAUCAUGAGGAGUGGUCUUAGCAUGUUCUUCUGUGUGAAUAUUAUCAACACACCAAAGACAUGAGGGUCACUAUGAAAAUAGUGCCUUCUACUUAUUUCAAUGGAAACAACAGAAACAAAGAGCACGCUAACACUAUUGGAUAAAGCAAAUUCUCAGCUACAGAACACUGGUUUUCAACAUAGUGACCACCACUGCUGGCAUUCUCACCAGUGACGAACAAGAGCCUGCAUGUCAAGCUCAUCAAAAUCUGCCUCAGUGCAGGUGACCCACUGUCACUGUCACCGUUGCUAAAAUGUACCACCCACCUCACUGUGCUCACAUCCGCUGUUUGGUUUCCAGAAACUUUCAGCAAGUGUCUCUGAGUGCCAGUGGGAGCAAUUUUUUCCUCAUGGAGGAAUUCAGUGACACAGCUUUGCUCUAUCCAUACUUCCAUGUUCAGAUGGCAUUUUGUCAGAGUGCCCCUCUGCUGCCAUCUGUCACGUGGCAACAACAUGUAAUGGAAUACUGGUGGGAGCAUUCAGCCCCUACUGUCAUACCACCAACAUCCGCCUCUGACUUCACGAGUCAACAUAAUAUAGGAGGCAUUACUUUCAGAGCAACCCUUGUAUGAUUGCAACUAGAGAAGAAAGAGGAUACAUACUUCCAUGUGUGAAGUUAUAUGCAAAGUCAGCCUUGUCUGUGGGGCUACUUCUGGAUGACAAAUUUGCAAAGUUAUUUCUCAUGUUAAGAGGAAUGUAUGCACCUUUCAAAGUCUGUGAAGAAACAUCUAUUAUAACUCUAAAUAAAGUACACAGUAUCCCCAUGACAUACUUAUACCAACACUUUGAAUAUGCCAUGCGUGUGCAGGAGAACUCAGAGAGCUUCCUUUUAGGUCUUCCAUCAUUUAAUUGUUGUAGUCAAAUAUUGGAUAUUCUUCCAGAUAUCAAAUAGAGGAUGAGCAGUAUCGAUCACUGUUUCUUAGCCUUCAUUUAUGUAUGCAUUUACUCAUGUAGGUACAAGCUGGACUUCCAGAAAAUUACCCCUGCAAGAUUUAGUAAGGAUGAGCUGCCUGUAGAACAACUACAUAGAUUCUCUUACGUGUGAAUGCUAAUCAAAGUCUGAGCCUCCGAAAACAAUUCUGAGUGGAACAAACCAAGUUUGUUCAACAGAUUCUCAGCAUUUAUUUUCGGCUGCAGAAAGGCAAUGCUAUUCUGUUGCUGCACUGACCUAAGUACCUUAUAUAGAGCUAUAAACAUAAUUCAAGUUCAAUUAGAGGUAUUCAACAUUGUCACAGCAAAUAUUCCUGCUUCAAGUGCCCAAUUAUUGUUUACACCUUAAGUACUGCGAUUCUGACACUUCUGAAUUUUUUCUGUGGCAAUACUUUGAAAGGAUAAAAAAAAAGAAAAUGCAGUGAUUUUGUGUAUUGAGGCCUUCCCUGCGCACUUUGCACAGCAGAUACUUAUCCUGGGAUAGCCACGUGAGUCAGUGCAACCAGGGAGGUGCCACAAAUAGCAUUUUGCAAGCCUUUGCAUGAGUACAUUAGAAUGAUCCACACCUACUUUGUCUGCAUCCAACUCAAUGCAUUGUCAAAAUGAUACCACUUCAUUUCUCUGGACUUCAAGUGCAAAAUCACAGCUGAGCAUUGCAGAGAGAAUGGAAAAUGACAGUGAAAUUCUUCAAAUGGAGAAAAAUGUUUGAGUGCAGUAAAAAUUAAG
ensembl:lncRNA